GGGCAGGUGAUGGAAUGGCAGACAUUGGGGCCUUAAAAGCCCCUGAUCGCAAGGUCGUGAGGGUUCAACUCCCUCCCUGCCCA
rnacentral:tRNA from 1 species